CUACGGGCGGCUGCAGUGGGGAAUAUUGCACAAUGGGCGCAAGCCUGAUGCAGCCAUGCCGCGUGUAUGAAGAAGGCCUUCGGGUUGUAAAGCACUUUCAGCGGGGAGGAAGGGAGUAAAGUUAAUACCUUUGCUCAUUGACGUUACCCGCAGAAGAAGCACCGGCUAACUCCGUGCCAGCAGCCGCGGUAAUACGGAGGGUGCAAGCGUUAAUCGGAAUUACUGGGCGUAAAGCGCACGCAGGCGGUUUGUUAAGUCAGAUGUGAAAUCCCCGGGCUCAACCUGGGAACUGCAUCGGAUACUGGCAGGCUUGAGUCUCGUAGAGGGGGGUAGAAUUCCAGGUGUAGCGGUGAAAUGCGUAGAGAUCUGGAGGAAUACCGGUGGCGAAGGCGGCCCCCUGGACGAAGACUGACGCUCAGGUGCGAAAGCGUGGGGAGCAAACAGGAUUAGAUACCCGGUAGUC
rnacentral:rRNA from 1 species